rnacentral:rRNA from 1 species
UACGGAAGGCAGCAGUGGGGAAUAUUGCACAAUGGGCGCAAGCCUGAUGCAGCCAUGCCGCGUGUAUGAAGAAGGCCUUCGGGUUGUAAAGUACUUUCAGUCGUGAGGAAGGUGUUAAGGUUAAUAACCUUAGCAAUUGACGUUAGCGACAGAAGAAGCACCGGCUAACUCCGUGCCAGCAGCCGCGGUAAUACGGAGGGUGCGAGCGUUAAUCGGAAUUACUGGGCGUAAAGGGCACGCAGGCGGUUAAUUAAGUUGGAUGUGAAAUCCCCGGGCUUAACCUGGGAAUGGCAUUCAAGACUGGUUAGUUAGAGUCUUGUAGAGGGGGUAGAAUUCCAUGCGUAGCGGUGAAAUGCGUAGAGAUGUAGAGGAAUACCGGUGGCGAAGGCGGCCCCUGGACAAAGACUGACGCUCAUGUGCGAAAGCGUGGGGAGCAAACAGGGAUUAGAUACC